CAAGCAGUAGCUGUGGCCGCACGGGAUGGUCACCGGGUCCCGCAGAACCUCCAGACACACCGAGCAGCUGAACUGGUCCUGUUCGAUGGAAAUAGUGGAAGUAGUCGCCGCCAUUUUGCUCCCGUGAGAGACGAAAGUGGGAGAGUGGGCGUGGCUUACAGCAGGCUGGAGGUCGGUCACGUCGGUGUGGACGGGCGAGUCGGGGGGAGCAACGAUCACCACUUCUCUCACUGAUGGAACACAAAGCGACACAAGUCCAUCAUAGCCCUGAAUAUAUUACAUGUCAGUGUGGUACACGUUUGCAUUCCUGGAAGUUGUCAACGGUGCAGAUAAAAAAAAUAAAAAAAUAAAAAUAAUAAAAUACAAAUGUAUCACCAACCGCUAUACAACCGAAUACAAUGAUUUGCAAAUCAGGUUCAACCUAUAUUCAAUUGAAUACACUACAAAGACAAGAUAUUUAAUGUUCAAACUGAUAAACUUUAUUGUUUUUAGCAAAUAAUCAUUAACUUGGAAUUUUAUGUCUGCAACACGUUCCAAAAAAGCUGGGACAGGGUCAUGUUUACCACGGUGUUACAUCACCUUUUCUUUUAACAGCAGUCAAUAAACGUUUGGGAACUGAGGACACUCAUUGUUGAAGCUUUGGAGGUGGAAUUCUUUCCCAUUCUUGCUUGAUGUACAGCUUCAGCCGUUCAACAGUCCGGGGUCUCCGUUGUCGUAUUUGACGCUUCAUAAUGCGCCACACAUUUUCAAUGGGAGACAGGUCUGGACUGGAGGCAGGCCAGUCUAGUAUGCGCACUUUACACACGUUUAUCAGUUUGAACAUUAAAUAUCUUGUCUUUGUAGUGUAUUCAAUUAAAUAUAGGUGGAACAUGAUUUACAAAUCAUUGUAUUCUGUUUUUAUUUGUGUUUAACACGACGUCCCAACUUCAUUGGAAUUGGGGUUGUAGUUGUACAGGUUAUAUGUCACAUAUUAAUGGUGGAAUUUUUUAAAUAAUUAUUUGUCUUGGUCUCACCUUUUUUUUUUACAUUCCCCCCAAAAAUCUGCCAUUUGAAAAGGUGUGUGUAGACUUUAUAUAUCCAUUGUAUUUACAUCCAUCUACCUAUCUGCCCAUUAUCCGUUCUAUUUAUCUAUCCAACAACCCAUGUAGUCUCCCCUUCCAUCAAUCAAUCUGUCCAUCCAUACACUUUAUAAUGUGUAAACCAUUUAACCAUCCAUGAAACAUUCUAUCGUUUACUGAAAAUGUUAAAAAAAAAAAAAAAAAAAAAAGUGCACCUUUCUCAUAGAUGCUGACGAAUCCUCCCUGGCAGACCUCUUGCAGCAGCGCUUUAAAAUCGCACACGGCUUUCGUCGCGGAGUCAAAUGUCAAGCCGGGCUCCACGGUGACAGCGGGCAGAGUCGACGACACUGGCGGAAGGGUGUCCAGCGCCUGGCAACUCUGUCACGACAGAAGACUCAAGUUGGAAUACAGCACAAAGAACAAGAAAAAUCGGUUUUCGUUUCGCUAAAUAUCUAAUUUGGAGGUGGCCGCCUCCAAUUGUAGAACCUCUGCCAUCAUGAAAAAUAUUAUUUGACCAGUGUUGACAAGGUUGGGUGUCAUUUUUAACGAAAAUUGCGGUAUUACGGCAAACAGUUGGAAGAAAUCGAAGUAGAACCACAAAUUAUGGAGUUUCUUUGCAACUGUGAUUCAUACGGUAGCGCCUCUGCCUCAAUUUGAGAAAAUCCUCUGCGGCUCGGCACUCUCACCCGGAGGAAGUGCAGGUGGUCGUCGGCGAAGGCCAGCCGGUCCAGCUCGGCCUCCCGCUUCUUCUGCUCGGCGAUCUCCUUGUGGAUCCUCUCCAGCAGCUGCUCGCCCUGACUCUCCACCAACUUCUGCUGGGCCUUGAUCAGCUCGCGCACCUCGAAACGCUUUAGCUCCACGCAGCGGAGAAGGUCGGUGAAGACGCUUUCGCUCGUCUCCGCCGCCAGCCGAGCUGACCGCUACGGGGUGGAGGAGGAGGUGUGGUGGGAUUUGUGACAUUUGCCAAGAAAAGGCCAGAGCAUCUGUGACUUACAUUGAUCGAGAAGAUGGCUUGUCUCAGCUCCUGAGUUUCCUUCUCUCGCUGCUUGAUGCUUUGCUGAGAGCUCAGCUUCAUCUCAGCGAGCUGUCUCUGUGGACCAGAAAAAUUAUUCCAAAAAAAUGGCACAUUUUGCAUCCAGUUGUACUUUAUGAUGUAUAAGGAAGACAUGAUUUUAUUCCAAUGGAGCAUCACAAAGCUUCAGCUAUCGAAUGUUUUUUAAUCCAGUAUUGCAUUGAUUAUCCCCUCAAUUAGUAUCUGUGACUUUGAGUGUGUAUGGCAUUUAAAAGGCGGAGCUUGGUCUGGUGAGUGACGUGGGCGUCAGCGAAUGAGAGCAUAUAGUUGGCUGACUGUUAACCGCCUAAUUUUUUAUCCUUGACUCGCGUGAGCUGUGGUCAUCGGCAGAUCGAGUACGAAUGUGCUAGUUACGCGUUUUCUCAUCGCUUGUUCAAUAAAACGAUGGAAAGCUCA